rnacentral:rRNA from 1 species
AUUGAACGCUGGCGGCAGGCUUAACACAUGCAAGUCGAGCGGAGCGAGGGUGCUUGCACCUUAGCUUAGCGGCGGACGGGUGAGUAAUGCUUAGGAAUCUGCCUAUUAGUGGGGGACAACAUUCCGAAAGGUAUGCUAAUACCGCAUACGCCCUACGGGGGAAAGCAGGGGCACGUCGGACCUUGCGCUAAUACAUGAGCCUAAGUCGGAAUAGCGAGUUGGUGGGGUAAAGGCCUACCAAGGCGACGAUCUGUAGCGGGUCGGAGAGGUGGAUCCGCCACACUGGGACUGAAGCACGGCCCAGACUCCUACGGGAGGCAGCAGUGGGGAAUAUUGGACAAUGGGCGGAAGCCUGAUCCAGCCAUGCCGCGUGUGUGAAGAAGGCCUUUUGGUUGUAAAGCACUUUAAGCGAGGAGGAGGCUACUAGUAUUAAUACUACUGGAUAGUGGACGUUACUCGCAGAAUAAGCACCGGCUAACUCUGUGCCAGCCGCCGCCGUAA